CAUCCCUGCAUAUUGCCUUUGUUUUUUUUUUGCCCCCCCCCCCCCCGACCUUUGAGGCCUUUUUCGGUUAGGCCCCCGGAAACCAAAAUUUUUGGAUUCCGGGGGAGAGAUGGGUGGGGGUGCAAACCUAGUGAAUUUGGUUGGGGGACCACAACCGGGGUGGCCGCGCUUUAUUUUUACCACAAACGAAAAAACUCACACGCCCCCGGACCCAAAGGGGAUUAAAAAUAGAAACCUCUUUUUUUUCUGGGGGGGGGGGGGGGCCGGGCCUUCCUUUUGGUGGAGGGAAGUUUUGUUUGUUUUUUUUCAAAACGAAAAGAUUCUCUGGCCUGUUUCUCUAACGUUGAUAAUUUAUCCCCUCCCCUUCUUCUUAAGAGGAGGGGGGGGGGUCCACCCCUCAAGAGGGAGAAAAACGGGUAUUUGGUGCCUCGGAUGGUCCGGGAUCACGCCUGCCUCUUUGAUUUUUUAUUGAGGCGUCCCUGGCCGAAUGAUGACGAACCAGGCGAACCCCCCCAGUGG
rnacentral:rRNA from 1 species